rnacentral:rRNA from 1 species
UACGUAGGAGGCGAGCGUUGUCCGGAAUCACUGGGUGUAAAGCGCGUGUAGGCGGCCUGCCAAGUCUGCUGUGAAAGCGCCUGGCUUAACCGGGCGAGGUCGGUGGAAACUGGCGGGCUGGAGGCCGGUAGAGGGGGGUGGAAUUCCCGGUGUAGUGGUGAAAUGCGUAGAGAUCGGGAGGAACACCAGUGGCGAAGGCGGCCCCCUGGGCCGCGCCUGACGCUGAGACGCGAAAGCGCGGGGAGCGAACGGG